rnacentral:rRNA from 1 species
UACGAAGGGGGCUAGCGUUGCUCGGAAUCACUGGGCGUAAAGCGCACGUAGGCGGACUCUUAAGUCAGAGGUGAAAUCCUGGAGCUCAACUCCAGAACUGCCUUUGAUACUGGGAAUCUUGAGUAUGGAAGAGGUGAGUGGAACUGCGAGUGUAGAGGUGAAAUUCGUAGAUAUUCGCAAGAACACCAGUGGCGAAGGCGGCUCACUGGCCCGGUACUGACGCUGAGGUGCGAAAGCGUGGGGAGCGAACAGG